rnacentral:lncRNA from 1 species
GAUUGAAGAGCACCUGGAGAAUCUCACAUGUUAAGCAAUUUCUAUCACUCGAGUCCAUCCAAUGAUAAUAUGAGAAAAACCAUCAAGAACCACAAAGGAAGCUAUCUGUGUUAUAUGCUAGGAAGUAGAGACACCAAACCCAAGGCAACACAUUGAUUCAAGUUGUACUCAAACUGGCCACUGACAACAAUCAGCCACCACGUCAUACACAUUCAAUCAUGCUCUUUUUCAGUAAUUUCCUUUUCAGAUAACCACCACGUCAUACACAUUCAAUCAUGCUCUUUUUCAGUAAUUUCCUUUUCAGAUAACCACCACGUCAUACACAUUCAAUCAUGCUCUUUUUCAGUAAUUUCCUUUUCAGAUAACCACCACGUCAUACACAUUCAAUCAUGCUCUUUUUCAGUAAUUUCCUUUUCAGAUAACCACCACGUCAUACACAUUCAAUCAUGCUCUUUUUCAGUAAUUUCCUUUUCAGAUAACCACCACGUCAUACACAUUCAAUCAUGCUCUUUUUCAGUAAUUUCCUUUUCAGAUAACCACCACGUCAUACACAUUCAAUCAUGCUCUUUUUCAGUAAUUUCCUUUUCAGAUAACCACCACGUCAUACACAUUCAAUCAUGCUCUUUUUCAGUAAUUUCCUUUUCAGAUAACCACCACGUCAUACACAUUCAAUCAUGCUCUUUUUCAGUAAUUUCCUUUUCAGAUAACCACCACGUCAUACACAUUCAAUCAUGCUCUUUUUCAGUAAUUUCCUUUUCAGAUAACCACCACGUCAUACACAUUCAAUCAUGCUCUUUUUCAGUAAUUUCCUUUUCAGAUAACAGUGUCAAUCCAGUGCACACCACUAGGGCAUGGUUCCAAAGUUCACACUUUCUAUCCUUCAAUUCAUUGUUUUUUCUUUAAUUGUUUGCUUUGGAAGAAGGAAAAGGUAAUUUAUUUUCAAAACCACUUGUGAACACCAAUGAGUCACAUUCGCAAAGUUUUCACCUUAUUCCUAAGUUCUUUUCUUUAGAAAGACAUGAGAAGGUGAUUUAUUUUCAAGAGGAUAACAGGGUUUUAUUCAUAAGUAGUGAAGCUAGUAUGAAAACAUUCACAGUUCCUGCAUUUUUUAAAUCCCAAAUAGAAAAGAUUUACAACAAGGCAUCAUCACUUUGUCCAAUAAAGUAGCUUUUGGAUCAAUCAUUUUAGAGAAGGGCAGAAGACUCAUUUAGUUUGGCCAAUUCAUAGAGGAAGAGUUGAUUGCGGUGGGGAUAUGUUGAAAGGGUUCAUAUUUGCUUAAAGUAAGUAAAACGAAAUUGAAGCAGAAACUACAGAAGAAGAUGAAAUAAAGAAUUUACAUAUUUAUAUUGAUGCUGAUAAUUGUUUUCGUUUGAGGGACAAGCAUAUAG